CCUACGGGAGGCAGCAGUGGGGAAUAUUGCACAAUGGGGGAAACCCUGAUGCAGCGACGCCGCGUGAGUGAAGAAGUAUUUCGGUACGUAAAGCUCUAUCAGCAGGGAAGAAAAUGACGUUACCUGACUCAGAAGCCCCGGCUAACUACGUGCCAGCAGCCGCGGGAAUACGUAGGGGGCAAGCGUUAGCCGGAUUUACUGGGUGUAAAGGGAGCGUAGACGGCAGCGCAAGUCUGAAGUGAAAUCCCAUGGCUUAACCAUGGAACUGCUUUGGAAACUGUGCAGCUGGAGUGCAGGAGAGGUGAGCGGAAUUCCUAGUGUAGCGGUGAAAUGCGUAGAGAUUAGGAGGAAUACCAGUGGCGAAGGCGGCUUACUGGACGGUAACUGACGUUGAGGCUCGAAAGCGUGGGGAGCAAACAGGAUUAGAUACCCUUGUAGUC
rnacentral:rRNA from 1 species